GACGAACGCUGGCGGCGUGCCUAAUACAUGCAAGUAGAACGCACAGUUUAUACCGUAGCUUGCUACACCAUAGACUGUGAGUUGCGAACGGGUGAGUAACGCGUAGGUAACCUGCCUGGUAGCGGGGGAUAACUAUUGGAAACGAUAGCUAAUACCGCAUAAUAUUAAUUAUUGCAUGAUAAUUAAUUGAAAGGUGCAAUUGCACCACUACCAGAUGGACCUGCGUUGUAUUAGCUAGUAGGUGAGGUAACGGCUCACCUAGGCGACGAUACAUAGCCGACCUAAGAGGGUGAUCGGCCACACUGGGACUGAGACACGGCCCAGACUCCUACGGGAGGCAGCAGUAGGGAAUCUUCGGCAAUAGACGAAAGUCUGACCGAGCAACGCCGCGUGAGUGAAGAAGGUUGUCGGAUCGUAAAGCUCUGUUGUAAGAGAAGAACGGGUGUGAGAGUGGAAAGUUCACACUGUGACGGUAUCUUACCAGAAAGGGACGGCUAACUACGUG
rnacentral:rRNA from 1 species